rnacentral:rRNA from 1 species
GAUAAACGCUGGCGGCGUGCUUAACACAUGCAAGUCGAACGAAGUUUUUCCUUCGGGAGAAACUUAGUGGCGGACGGGUGCGUAACGCGUGGGUAACCUGCCCUGUACAGGGGGACAACAGCUGGAAACGGCUGCUAAUACCGCAUAAGCACUUAGCACUGCAUGGUGCAUAGGGAAAAGGAGCAAUCCGGUACAGGAUGGACCCGCGUCUGAUUAGCCAGUUGGCAGGGUAACGGCCUACCAAAGCGACGAUCGGUAGCCGAUCUGAGAGGAUGUACGGCCACAUUGGGACUGAGACACGGCCCAGACUCCUACGGGAGGCAGCAGUGGGGAAUAUUGCACAAUGGAGGAAACUCUGAUGCAGCGACGCCGCGUGAGUGAAGAAGUAUUUCGGUAUGUAAAGCUCUAUCAGCAGGGAAGAAAAUGACGGUACCUGACUAAGAAGCACCGGCUAAAUACGUG